rnacentral:rRNA from 2 species
ACGGGUGCGUAACGCGUAUGCAAUCUGCCUUUCACAGAGGGAUAGCCCAGAGAAAUUUGGAUUAAUACCUCAUAGUAUUAUUGGGUGGCAUCACUUAAUAAUUAAAGUCACAACGGUGAAAGAUGAGCAUGCGUCCCAUUAGCUAGUUGGUAAGGUAACGGCUUACCAAGGCAACGAUGGGUAGGGGUCCUGAGAGGGAGAUCCCCCACACUGGUACUGAGACACGGACCAGACUCCUACGGGAGGCAGCAGUGAGGAAUAUUGGUCAAUGGACGCAAGUCUGAACCAGCCAUGCCGCGUGCAGGAUGACGGUCCUAUGGAUUGUAAACUGCUUUUGUACGAGAAGAAACAACAUUACGUGUAAUGUCUUGACGGUAUCGUAAGAAUAAGGAUCGGCUAACUCCGUGCCAGCAGCCGCGGUAAUACGGAGGAUCCAAGCGUUAUCCGGAAUCAUUGGGUUUAAAGGGUCCGUAGGCGGUUUAGUAAGUCAGUGGUGAAAGCCCAUCGCUCAACGGUGGAACGGCCAUUGAUACUGCUGAACUUGAAUUAUUAGGAAGUAACUAGAAUAUGUAGUGUAGCGGUGAAAUG